AAUCAAGUUUGGAAUCACAUUUACAUUUGGAAAUUUGCUUGCACUUGGAAGCACAACAUUCCUCAUUGGCCCCAAAAGGCAGGUGUCAAUGAUGUUUGAUCCUGUUCAUAUAUAUGCAACCGCUAUACAUAUUGCAAGUAUGAUUAUUGUUUUGUUUUGUGCCUUCUAUGUUCGUAACAAGCUGUUGACAC